ensembl:lncRNA
GCCUUUUCCCACCUGUGUUUUGUGGGUAGUUGUUAUUUUGUUUUGUGUUUCUGUACCUGACAGGACUGUUUUGGUUUGAGUUCAUUCGCUUUGUUAUUUUUGUUAUUUCAGUGUUCAGUUCAUAUAAAGUAUGAACACGUACCACAGUGCGUUUUGGUCGCCAUCUUCCAACAGCCAUUACACAGUAUCUGGUGUGACCACCAUUUGCCUCAUGCAGCGAAACACAUCUCCUUCACAUGGAGUUCAUCAGGCUGUUGAUUGUGGCGUGUGGAAUGUCCUCUUCAAUGGCCGUGCGAAGUUGCUGAAUAUUGACGGGAACUGGAAAACAUUGCCGUACACGUCGAUCCAGAGCAUCCCAAACGUGCUCAAUGGACAGAGCAUGGACACAAUGCAAUUGGGAUCAAAAAGAAGCUCUUCUCAGAAAUGAAUCAAGUCCAUGGAAUAGAUAUAAACAAAAAGAUAAUUCAAGGACUAGCAAGAGGUAAAGGACAACACGAGGACUCGAGACCACAGCAGCGAUCCUGCUCUUGCCCUACCUCUUCUAUGAGAACCAGAGUGGCCUUUAUGUCCGUGACAAGUGCACAUCGACUGAAAUCCAUUUCACCAUGAGAGUGAAUUCCUGCUGGCCUUUGAUUGGGAGAACAUCCAUGCCCUAGAGGACGUCCCCAUGGGACUUGUGGCUCUGCUAGGGCUGUAUUCUUUAUUUUCAGUUCAAUUUCCCCAAAAUGUCAGAAAAACACUGAUGUUCUUAUGUUACUGUGUUCUGGGGAUAAGAGAAGUUGGGGUGAAGUUACCAGGGACGGUAAUGAAGAUGGCACACUUCCUAACAUAACUAAGUGGUUGUUGGACACACACACACUAAAGCUAAAAUAAAUCUGUAUUUAGCAUCAAGUUUACAAUAUUGUUAAUUUACUUAUGAUUCAUUUUUAAUGUUUUUAUUGUACAUCAUUAUUUAAUAAAAAUGUAAAAAAUGUCAUGAAAAGCACUA